UACAGAGGUAGCAAGCGUUGUUCGGAAUUACUGGGCGUAAAGGGCGCGUAGGCGGCCGCCUAAGUCAGACGUGAAAUCCCCAAGCUUAACUUGGGAACUGCGUCUGAUACUGGGUGGCUUGAGUUCGGGAGAGGAAUGUGGAAUUCCAGGUGUAGCGGUGAAAUGCGUAGAUAUCUGGAGGAACACCGGUGGCGAAGGCGGCAUUCUGGACCGAAACUGACGCUGAGGCGCGAAAGCCAGGGGAGCAAACGGG
rnacentral:rRNA from 1 species